rnacentral:sRNA from 1 species
CGUCCCUGCCCUUUUUGGGCGUUUCCUCCCAAACACCUAUAAGGCCGGGCCUCGUGCCCGGCCCUUUUUUUGGCUUAC